rnacentral:rRNA from 1 species
GACGAACGCUGGCGGCGUGCUUAACACAUGCAAGUCGAACGGAAAGGCCCUGCUUUUGUUGGUUGCUCGAGUGCCGCACGGGUGAGUAACACGUGAGUAACCUGCCCUUGUCUUUGUGAUAACUUCACGGAACUGGGGCUAAUACCGGAUAUGAUCUCCUGCUGCAUGUUGGUGAUUGGAAAGUUUCGGCGGUUGGGGCUGGACUGGCGGCUUAUCCGCUUGUUGGUGUGGUAGUGGCUGACGAAGGCUUUGACGGCUAGCCGGCAUUAGAGGGGGACCGGGCACAUGGGGACUGAGAUACGGCCCAGACGCCUACGGGAGGCAGUAGUGGGGAAUAUUGCACAAUGGGCGGAAGCCUGAUGCAGCAACGCCGCGUGCGGGAUGACGGCCUUCGGGUUGUAAACCGCUUUCGCCUGUGACGAAGAGUGAGUGACGGUAAUGGGUAAAGAAGCACCGGCUAACUACGUG